UACGUAGGGGGCAAGCGUUGUCCGGAUUUAUUGGGCGUAAAGAGCGUGUAGGCGGCUUGGUAGGUCUCGCGUCAAAACCUGAGGCUCAACCUCAGUUCGCGUGGGAAACCACCUAGCUAGAGUCCGGAAGAGGAGAACGGAAUUCCCAGUGUAGCGGUGAAAUGCGCAGAUAUUGGGAAGAACACCCGUGGCGAAGGCGGCUCUCUGGAACGGUACUGACGCUGAGACGCGAAAGCGUGGGGAGCGAACAGG
rnacentral:rRNA from 1 species